GUGAUGGAUUCCGUGGAGAAAAUGCAAUGGAUCAAGUAACAGAUGGAGUGGAUCUAUGGAUAGAGGAAUACAGGUCAUCAAACAGCAAUCCUGAGAGAUGAACACUUGCGGCCUUGGUGAAUACCUUGUGAGUUCAGGAGAUCCAGAGGCUUCGAAUAAGAUGCUAGUUGCCCAGUGGGAAGUGUUUCUUGCAACUGGACCCUUUUUUGGAGGAGUGAACGUACAUUGAAGAUGGGAUGGACCUUGUGCCCUCGAAAGGCCAGAAGAGCUCCCAGAGGUCCAAGGCAAAAUCUGUAAUCUGCCGAGCCUGAUCUGCCAGCACAGCCCCAAGGAACAAUGGGGAUCCAGCUCAGCCGCCAAGACGCCAGAAAGUGACUCUGCCCACGGCUGUGCCACAUUCGGGAUGUAAUGUGGCGGCCAAAUGCAUUGUAGCAAAGGCUUUGAGUUGGACCCCACUCUCCUCGUGGACCAAAGUGGGACAGGGGCUUUUGGGGGAGAAAACAGACUUCUGUUCUUGCUGCAUCUUCUCAGUGAAUAGACCUUUAUAACGGCAAAUCAAUGUUAACUGGUGAAAUGGAGGCAAUGAUCAACCCAAACCAUGGGCAGUGGAUAUUGAGGAGGAUACAUUGGAGUCGGGGCUCAAGCCAAAAGCGUUAGAAAAAGCCGUUCCCAACCUUUCAGGGCUACUCCAAGAACCCUGAGGGGAGAUACAUGAGCCAGUAUGAGAGAGUGGGCCUUGGACAGUCACUGCAGAGCACAGCCUGUGGAUGCAAGGCCUCCCCUUGCUCUUUCCUGUGACCUCUGGAGGAGCGAGGAAGGGAAAGCAAGUACUAGAGGCCUGUGGCCCACCAGAAAGGAAGCGUGGGAGGCAAAGUAGGAGGAGGAGUCUAAACACAAUUAGGGGGAAAGCAUCCCAUC